CUUCGGGGUUCCUGGGUGUCAUGCAAAUCUUGGUGGAACCUCCAAAUGAAAGACCUCAGUGGGGAGACCCCCCACUCAAGUCCCAAGACAGUGCGCACACCCAAGGAAUCACGAGAGACU
rnacentral:pre_miRNA from 7 species